GAUCCUGGCUCAGGAUGAACGCUAGCGGCAGGCUUAACACAUGCAAGUCGAGGGGCAUCGGGAGUAGCAAUACUUGCCGGCGACCGGCGCAAGGGUGCGUAACGCGUGAGCAACAUGCCCGUAUCAGGGGGAUAAUCCAUGGAAACGUGGUCUAAUACCCCAUAGUAAUUAUGUAAGGCAUCUUAUAUAAUUUAAAGCUUUGGUGGAUACGGAUUGGCUCGCGUGACAUUAGCUGGAUGGUAAGGUAACGGCUUACCAUGGCUACGAUGUCUAGGGGUUCUGAGAGGAAGGUCCCCCACACUGGAACUGAGACACGGUCCAGACUCCUACGGGAGGCAGCAGUGAGGAAUAUUGGACAAUGGAUGGAAAUCUGAUCCAGCCAUGCCGCGUGCCAGGAAGACGGCCCUAUGGGUUGUAAACUGCUUUUGUAUGGGAGCAAUAAGGGCUACGUGUAGUCCGAUGAGAGUACCAUACGAAUAAGCACCGGCUAACUCCGUGCCAGCCGCCGC
rnacentral:rRNA from 1 species